AUACGGAGGAUGCGAGCGUUAUCCGGAUUUAUUGGGUUUAAAGGGUGCGUAGGCGGGCUGUUAAGCGUGAGGUGAAAGCUCGGGGCUCAACCCCGGAACUGCCUCGCGAACUGGCGGUCUUGAAUGUCCGUGCCGUGGGGGGAAUGUGUGGUGUAGCGGUGAAAUGCGUAGAUAUGCCACAGAACGCCGAUAGCGGAGGCAGCUCGCCAGGCCGGCAUUGACGCUCGGGCACGAAAGCGUGGGGACCGAACAGGAUUAGAUACCCUGGUAGUCCACGCCGUAAACGAUGGGCGCUCGUCGUCGGCGGCAGACAGUCGGCGGCCAAGCGAAAGCGAUAAGCGCCCCACCUGGGGAGUACGGUCGCAAGGCUGAAACUCAAAUGAAUUGGCGGGG
rnacentral:rRNA from 1 species